CUCAGGACGAACGCUGGCGGCGUGCCUAAUACAUGCAAGUCGAGCGGAGGUUAUUGAGUAGUAAUACGAGAUGACCUUAGCGGCGGACGGGUGAGUAACGCGUGAGCAACCUGGCCUAUACAGGGGGAUAACAGGGAGAAAUUCCUGCUAAUACCGCAUAAGACCACAGUAUCGCAUGGUACUGGGGUCAAAGGAGAGAUUCGGUAUAGGAUGGGCUCGCGUCCCAUUAGCUAGUUGGGGGUGCAACGGACCACCAAGGCGACGAUGGGUAGCCGACCUGAGAGGGUGAUCGGCCACACUGGGACUGAGACACGGCCCAGACUCCUACGGGAGGCAGCAGUAGGGAAUAUCGGACAAUGGGGGAAACCCUGAUCCAGCAACGCCGCGUGAAGGAAGAAGGUCUUCGGAUUGUAAACUUAUGUUGUCGGGGACGAAGAAAGACGGUACCCGACGAGGAAGCCCCGGCUAACUACGUGCCAGCAGCCGCGGUAAUACGUAGGGGGCGAGCGUUGUCCGGAAUUACUGGGCGUAAAGGGCGCGUAGGCGGCCAAUUAAGUUAGAUGUGAAAUCCCUGGGCUUAACCUGGGUGUUGCAUUUAAAACUGAUAGGCUUGAGUGCAGGAGAGGGAAGCGGAAUUCCUAGUGUAGCGGUGGAAUGCGUAGAUAUUAGGAGGAACACCAGUGGCGAAGGCGGCUUUCUGGACUGUAACUGACGCUGAGGCGCUAGAGCGUGGGGAGCAAACAGGAUUAGAUACCCUGGUAGUCCACGCCGUAAACGAUGGAUUUUAGGUGUAGAGGGUAUCGACCCCCUCUGUGCCGGAGCAAACGCAAUAAGUAUCCCGCCUGGGGAGUACGGCCGCAAGGUUGAAACUCAAAGGAAUUGACGGGGGCCCGCACAAGCAGCGGAGCAUGUGGUUUAAUUCGAAGCAACGCGAAGAACCUUACCAAGGCUUGACAUCCCCUGACGUAUGUAGAGAUACAUAUUUCCUUCGGGACAGGGAGACAGGUGGUGCAUGGUUGUCGUCAGCUCGUGUCGUGAGAUGUUGGGUUAAGUCCCGCAACGAGCGCAACCCUUGUAUACAGUUACCAGUAUUAAGUUAGGGACUCUGUAUAGACUGCCGUGGAUAACACGGAGGAAGGUGGGGACGACGUCAAAUCAUCAUGCCCCUUAUGUCUUGGGCUACACACGUGCUACAAUGGCCGCAACAGAGGGCAGCGAAGUGGCAACAUGGAGCGAAUCUCAAAAAAGCGGUCUCAGUUCAGAUUGUGGGCUGCAACCCGCCCACAUGAAGACGGAGUUGCUAGUAAUCGCGGAUCAGCAUGCCGCGGUGAAUGCGUUCCCGGGCCUUGUACACACCGCCCGUCACACCAUGGGAGUUGAGAGCACCCGAAGCCGGUGACCUAACCUUAGGGAAGGAGCCGUCGAAGGUGAGAUUGAUGAAUGGGGUGAA
rnacentral:rRNA from 1 species